rnacentral:rRNA from 1 species
GACGAACGCGGGCGGCGUGCCUAAUACAUGCAAGUCGAGCGAAGUUUUUCUGGUGCUUGCACUAGAAAAACUAAGCGGCGAACGGGUGAGUAACACGUAAAGAACCUGCCUCAUAGACGGGGACAACUAUUGGAAACGAUAGCUAAUACCGGAUAACAGCAUUAACCGCAUGGUUGAUGUUUGAAAGUUGGUUUUGCUAACACUAUGAGAUGGCUUUGCGGUGCAUAAGCUAGUUGGUGGGGUAAAGGCCUACCAAGGCGACGAUGCAUAGCCGACCUGAGAGGGUGAUCGGCCACACUGGGACUGAGACACGGCCCAGACUCCUACGGGAGGCAGCAGUAGGGAAUCUUCCGCAAUGGGCGAAAGCCUGACGGAGCAACGCCGCGUGAGUGAAGAAGGAUUUCGGUUCGUAAAGCUCUGUUGUUAGGGAAGAAUGAUUGUAUAGUAACUAUAUACAGAGAGACG